CCUACGGGAGGCAGCAGUGGGGAAUAUUGCACAAUGGGGGGAACCCUGAUGCAGCGACGCCGCGUGGGUGAAGGAGUAUUUCGGUAUGUAAAGCCCUAUCAGCAGGGAAGAACAAUGACGGUACCUGACUAAGAAGCACCGGCUAAAUACGUGCCAGCAGCCGCGGUAAUACGUAUGGUGCAAGCGUUAUCCGGAUUGACUGGGUGUAAAGGGAGCGCAGGCGGCGCGUUAAGCCUGGUGUGAAAGUCCGCGGCCCAACCGCGGGACUGCAUUGGGAACUGGCGCGCUGGAGUGCCGGAGGGGUAGGCGGAAUGCCUAGUGUAGCGGUGAAAUGCGUAGAUAUUAGGAGGAACACCAGUGGCGAAGGCGGCCUACUGGACGGUGACUGACGCUGAGGCUCGAAAGCGUGGGGAGCAAACAGGAUUAGAUACCCGGGUAGUC
rnacentral:rRNA from 1 species